rnacentral:lncRNA from 1 species
GUAAAUACCUAGCUACAAGUUGUUAUUGAAAAUUAUGGAUGUGACGUCACGGGAAUCCCCAUCAGCUGACGACCGCGCUACUUAAUAAAAAAAGAAUAGUCAAAAACGUGGGGACAAGCCCAACUAUUUCUUCAGUUGUUUAGAAUCAUGCCUCCAGUGAUCCCAGGAUUUAGUCAGUUCUUUCUCUCAGACGACAGCAUGGGUUCCUGGACGAAUCGUUGGAGCCUCGAGUUUUCUUUUGGAGCUUUUUCAUACCAAAGAAUAUUUGGGAAUGUCCUUCGACAAAACGGGAGAUGCAGAAUGGAUCCUCCUGAGACUUCAGGUACUAAUUUACCGUAAGACGACCAAAUUUGAAUGAAGAUAAAACUUUGAAUUACCAUUUUAAGUUUUAAAGAAAACCAAACCAAGGUCUGAUAUGUCUCCCUAUAAUCUGAGUAAUCUCUUAGAAGAACAGUGAGGAAUUCCAAUAACUCAGAAGGUAAUUCAUCCUGAACUGUUGAGAAAAUAUAAUCCUGGAGUUCUUUAAAAGGUCUUUAUCAAGGAGGGAACGGUGAGGAAAGUAGAUCCAUGAAGUACUCCAUAAGGGUUUCAAUCAUUCCAACUCUUCUAAUGGACUCUAUUUUUGAGCUAGUGUGAAGUCUCAUUCAACAUAAUAUAUAUCAAA